rnacentral:rRNA from 1 species
UACAGAGGUGGCUAGCGUUGUUCGGAAUUACUGGGCGUAAAGGGCGCGUAGGCGGCUUGGUCAGUCCCGUGUGAAAUCCCUCGGCUCAACUGAGGAACUGCACGGGAAACUGCCUGGCUUGAGUUCGGGAGAGGGAAGCGGAAUUCCGGGUGUAGCGGUGAAAUGCGUAGAUAUCCGGAGGAACACCGGUGGCGAAGGCGGCUUCCUGGACCGACACUGACGCUGAGGCGCGAAAGCUAGGGGGAGCAAACGGG